CGAUGACGAGGUCUAGGUGGUGCGCUUCGUGGUUUUUGGUGUCCACACUGAGAGAAAAGAAUCCUUGCCACAAAGAAUUUGCGACUUAACCGUACCUUUCAUUUUGCUUAUAUGAUACAAAUUUCUUCUUUAUUAGAGACUAAAUUCUUAAUAAUUAAGAAGCAGACCGAGGAAACGUUUACGAGCGAUCGUAGCACACCGUCGAUAAAAAGUUACCGGCCGAGUGGCGAGCUCCACUUCAAGCUCUGCGGUUACGGUAUAUACGUCUCGGCAUAGCGCAUGCAGUCGGCCGAUUUCGGGAGUAUUGCGUCUCACGCAAUCAAGAUUUUUGAAAGAAGUAUCCGAGUGUGACAAAUUUUUUAAAGAAGUGUGAAGACAGAAGUAUCUCUUUGUUGGGGAGGCAGCAGGCUGACGUUGUUUUAUCGCAAACGACAGAACGCGAGAGAGAAUAUGCCGGAGUCGGCGUCCACCGUUGCAUUUGGCGCGUGCUCUCUUUUUCUCAUUGCCACAAAGAAGUACCUUUGCAGAAAUGAACAUCAUACUUAAGUCAUGGGGCUUUCCGAACUUAGUAGAUGUUUUUAAACGUAAGUUGCUCUAUACUACUAUUUUUCUGCUGAUUUUCUGCAUGCAAAAAAGUGAGGUUAGGUGAGGCGAUUGCUAGAGAGAUUCGACCCGACGAAAGCGACGCGGGGAAUUCGGUUUCGGUGCCGGCCAAGUGAAACGAAAAAUACACGCGUUUUUUUUAAUGAACUUGCUGGCCCAGAAAAAAAAUACACUGACCAACAUGCAUCGCGCGCGCGUCCUUAGACGUGCUGCACGGCGAUUCCUAUUACUACCGCCGUACACUUUUCGUGCUUGUUCAUCGUGUCCGAGCGUUACUAUUUACAAUUUUGCUGUUAGGAUUCGUUAAGAAUGUCAGAUCACGCGCUCGAGAUUAGACGUAUCGCUCGGGGUUAGGUUUACAGUUUUCUGCUGAAUGUUAACCCAUCGUUGUAUGUUAUUUUAUCCAGAGAAUGAUACUAACUAUAGAUGUUCUGUAUGCUUUGAUGGAUGAUCCCGACGAACUCAAAAAUGUUAUUCCAAGUGUUUGUGUGCGUAUAUUGCUUAAAAGAAAAUUACGUGAACAUGUAUGUUUGUUUCUUGGCUUAUUAAAUAAAUUCUUUUCUUCAAAAUUUGUAUGUGAAUUACAUUAUCAACCAGUGUCACAUUACUAAUCUACUUUUUUAUUAAUUCAGAUUGAAGUCAAUGAACAGAUAAAAUUUGAACAUUCGGCAACUGAAAACUCGUUAUCUGAGGACCCGUUGAAAGAAGAAGAAUCGCAAGGUCUUGAAACUGCAGAAGAAAUUGAAGCAAAUGACGAAGAUACAAUCGAGGUAGAAUACGUUGAACAUCAAACAACUCUUGAUGGAGAGCCAGCUUGUAAAAAGCAACGAAUAUCAACUGCAGUCAACGACUUAGAUCACAAAGCUCUGCUGGAAGACCAUGCUCCUGAGCCAUCGAUAUUAAGGGUAUAUGAAGCAAAAAAAGAGCUUUGAUCUGCUUCUCAAUCGUACUUAGUAGAAAUUAUUACUCUUCACUUUUUAAGAGACAACAAUUUGUAAGUAUAAAAGAAGAAUGUCUGCAAACUUAUUAUGUAGGCUUUGUGAAAAAAAUGAAUCCAGACGAAACAAGCAUGAGCGAUCCAAGGGGAAAUUGGUUGAUAAAUACAGAAACCGACGUACAUACAUCCUGGAAUCACAUAAACAUUCAACUUAAUGUCAGUCAACCGCAAAACGAGUGCCAGUUACAAAUAAUUUAGAUAUACAAAGUGCCCUUUAAAGCAAAGAAUGGCUUAUUAUAAAUAGAGAGAAGAGGGAAGUUCUAAAACAUUGGGAGUUCACAUUCAAUUUGCGCCAGACCGAUGCCAAGAAUCAAGAAUAUCAAACUGUAGCUGAUAUUUAUAAGAAAUGGCCAAAUUUAAAAGAAUCUUAUGGUUUUGAACUUAUAGAAAAGGAUUUUUUACAAACCUAUUUAAAACCUUUUGAGAAUAUAUGUAAUUGAUGGAAUGAUGUCUUUUCUCAUGCAGCUGCUAUCUUAAAAGAUAAGCUAACAAAAGACGAAAGACUUAUUUUAGACUCGUUAAAAGAGCUUGAUUGUGAAUCUAUGACGGAUUACGACACACUUAUGCACGUUAAGUUAUUGAACUCCUUCGAAGCACCAAAAGCCACAAAAAUUUCCUAUAAAAAUUCUGGAAAAAAGUCUGUGGAAAUCCUCUAAAGCAGAAUCAGAAGAAGGUAUUAUUAUUCAUGUAAAGAUUCCUGGCGAUAUUGAAAAUGAAGUCAACAAGAAGAGGAAUGAGAUGGUUAAUAAGAAGCUGUCUCUUCAGCCAUUUAUAAUUCUCGUUGGCGUAAAUUUAAAACAUAUAGAUCAAUUUUUCGUGCGUGUUGAUACGGUGACGUAUGAGUUGCCUUCACUUGCAAAAGCAGUCGACAUUUUAUUUAAACUGUAUAUAUUUUUCAAUAUCUCAUACCAUGUAGAAUGUGAAAAUUUAUUUUAUUUGAUUCAAUGGGCCGUAUAUGAUAUUAUAACUGAGUCAGACGUUAAAAUACCUUCUGUGUGUACAUUGGUGCAUAAAGUUAAAAAGCGUUUAGUAGAAGCUGCGGAAAACUAAUCAAAAUGCAUUGUCCUAUCUGUACUUCGCAAAUAUUUAAUGAUGUCAACGUUUUUUUGCGACAUUUGAAAAUUUACUAUCCGCAUCUUAGUAAUCAUAAAUGCGUGUAUAGUACAUGUUUUCGUACAUUUAGGACAAUUUUAACACUAAGAAAGCAUAUUAGUAAUUGUGAUCAAAAAGAUACGAAAAUACGUUCUAGUUAUAAUUAUUUUAAAAACAAGCAACUUGCUAAAAAAAAAAGUUCUUUGCGACUUCGUAGUAAUCCAUCAAUCGUAGGUAAUAGCAGUACUUUAACGAUUUCUACUUUGAAUGCGAAUAAUUUUGAUAAGAAUCUUUUUAAUAUGAUAGGAAAACUGUACACAAACAGCUCAAUAACUAACGCAGUUGUAGACCUAGUUAUGAAAGACGUUAUGGCACUAAGCAGUGAACUUGUAGGUUUACAUAAGAUUAAAUUGAAAGAAAUGAUUACGAUAGAAUAUCACAAUAAAUAGAUCAUUGUUUGCAAAUAUCAAAUAUUUUUGAGAACUCCAACACAGAAUACAGGCGUUUUCGUUACCUACAAAACGCGGGCUUUUUAAUCGAGCCAAAAGCAGUACUAAUUGGUGAGAUAAAUGAUAAUAAGAAAAGUCGUGAUACCACGCUUUAUACCAAAAAAAUGUACAGCAUCUUUAAUUUCAUUGCGCAAAGUGCUAACUAUGUUCCUACAAUUACCUAAUGUGUUCAACGAAAUCAUGAAUUUUAUUAAAUGUGAACUUGCUCAAGCUUAACACGUAUAUUCCAGCGUUUAUAAUGGCAAAUAUUGGCGAAAAAUGUCUAAGAAUUUUGGUGAGAAAACUGUAAUAGGAUUGUUCUUAUACAACGAUGACUUCUAAAUAUGUGAUCUUCUCUCGACGUCAAGAAUUGUUUAUAAAAUCGCAGGUUGUUAUUUUUCAAUUGCAGGUAUACCGCCAAAAUUAGCAUCGAUGUUAGAAAAUGUAUUUUUAGCGCAGUUUAAUUUGACUGCUGACCAAAAAGAGCUUAAAAAUGCAAGAUGCUUUAAAGAUCUUAUUGCUGAACUAAAUUCAUUAUUUGACGAACUUGUAACAAUUUGUGUUGAUAAAAAAAGUAUCAAAAUACAUUUUGUUGUUGUAGCGAUAAUUGGCGAUAAUUUACGAGUAAACAAUUUGUUCGGUUUUAAUCAAAGCUUUGUAGCUUGCUAUUAUUGUAGGUUUUGUAAAUGUGAUAAAUUUGAAGCAAAAGUACUCUGCACAGUUAAUAAAAAUAAGAUAAGAAGUACUACUAACUAUACUGAAGAUUUAGAGCAACGAACAAACGGAGUUAAAAGUGGAUGCGUUUUUAAUCAGUUGUACUUUUUUCAUAACGUUACGAAACUUACGUAUGACUUGAUGCAUGACUUUUCUUUAGGGGUAUGUAGAUAUGAUAUGUCAAUGAUUAUUCAUUCUUUUAUACAAAAAGAAUAUUUUGAUAUCGUACAGCUUAAUGACAGAUUGAAAUAUUUUGAUACCUACGUGUGAAAAGUAUGAAGGCUUUCACAAGAAAGCUAAACAGUGUGCUCGUGUUGUGACUUCAAGAAUUAACAUCAUUCAUACUUUAUCAACAGAAUUGCAGCUUGAAUCAGCUUAUCUUUUUUACAUAAAUAAGGGGUUUAAAAAUAUAAUUAAGUUUGGUGCUCUCAAAAAAAAGGUGACUAAAAAUGUAGAUAACGAAGUUAAUUUUGUAAAAAUUAAUGGAGCUCUGUAUCGACCAAACUAUGCAAUAUUUUUGUACAACGAUGAGUCUGACAAUCCCGUAAUUGGUUUGAUCGAAAAAAUCGUAAAAACUACUGAAAAUAAAAUAUUUUUUAUGUACAAAGAUUGUCAGACGAUUGGUUUUAUAAAUAGUAUGAAAUGUUACAUUAUACAGUUACCAUCUAAAAUGCAGAAAGAAAAGUGGUUUUUGUAUAAUUUAAAUUAUUAUAUGUGACCUAUAAAAAUUCAUGUAACAUCCGAAGGAAAAUAUGUAGUAUCUUGAAGAGAUUUAUUAUGUUGAAAUAAAUAGAUUUUCAAAGUAA